AUGAUCAUCAAUGAAACCCGCAAAAAUUUAUUAGAAGAAUCUAGAAUGGAACUACACUGUAGACGAACUCUACGAACACCUCAACACACCCAAAUAUGUCGACUUCUUGUCCCUCAAUCACAACAUCUUCUCCAACAUACUCCGUCUCUUUUGCUCAAUCUCCGACCCACAUCUGCCUUCAUCUUUCUCAUGCUCAUCCUUCAUCAUCAAAUCUCAACAACCGAGAAUGUGACCUUGUUCUCUUCUACUCCAAACUCUUGGAGUCACACUCCAAACGUGCUUCUCAAACUGGCUUUUAUUCCGCUAUUCUUAUCUCAAUAA